rnacentral:rRNA from 1 species
UUAGAGUUUGAUCCUGGCUCAGGACGAAUGCUGGCGGCGUGCUUAAAACAUGCAAGUCGAACGGAGUUAUUUGAAAGCUUGCUUUUGAAUAACUUAGUGGCGGACGGGUGAGUAACGCGUGAGCAACCUGCCUAUUACAGGGGAAUAACACUUAGAAAUAGGUGCUAAUACCGCAUAUGACCACAACGUGACAUCACGAAGGGGUGAAAGGAGUUAAAUCCGGUAAUAGAGGGGCUUGCGUCCCAUUAGCUAGUUGGUGAGGGUAACGGCCCACCAAGGCAACGAUGGGUAGCCGACCUGAGAGGGUAAUCGGCCACACUGGAACUGAGAUACGGUCCAGACUCCUACGGGAGGCAGCAGUUAGGAAUAUUGGGCAAUGGAGGAAACUCUGACCCAGCAACGCCGCGUGAAGGAUGAAGGUUUUCGGAUUGUAAACUUCUGUUCUAUGGGAAAAACACAAUGAUGGUACCAUAGGAGAAAGCUACGGCUAACUACGUGCCAGCAGCCGCGGUAAUACGUAGGUAGCAAGCAUUGUCCGGAAUAACUGGGCGUAAAGGGAGCGUAGGUGGUUUUUUAAGUGAAAUGUGAAAGCCCGGGGCUCAACUCCGGAAUGUCAUUUCAUACUGGGAAACUAGAGUACAGGAGGGGUAAGCGGAAUUCCUAGUGUAGCGGUGGAAUGCGUAGAUAUUAGGAAGAACACCAGAGGCGAAGGCGGCUUACUGGACUGUAACUGACACUGAGGCUCGAAAGCGUGGGGAGCAAACAGGAUUAGAUACCCUGGUAGUCCACGCCCUAAACGAUGGAUACUAGACGAAGCGGAGUAUAAUCUGCUGUGUCGAAGCAAACGCGAUAAGUAUCCCGCCUGAGGAGUACGGCCGCAAGGUUGAAACUCAAAGAAAUUGACGGGGACCCGCACAAGCAGCGGAGCAUGUGGUUUAAUUCGACGCAACGCGAAAAACCUUACCAAGACUUGACAUCCUACUAAACUCAUGGAAACAUGAGGUGACUUCGGUCGAGUAGAGACAGGUGGUGCAUGGUUGUCGUCAGCUCGUGUCGUGAGAUGUUGGGUUAAGUCCCGCAACGAGCGCAACCCUUGUCAAUAGUUGCCAUCAUUCAGUUGGGCACUCUAUUGAGACUGCCGUAGAUAAUACGGAGGAAGGUGGGGAUGACGUCAAAUCAUCAUGCCUCUUACGUCUUGGGCUACAAACGUGCUACAAUGGCCAUUACAAAGAGAUGCAAUACAGCAAUGUGGAGCAAACCUCAAAAAGAUGGUCCCAGUUCAGACUGUGGGCUGAAACCCGCCCACACGAAGUCGGAGUUGCUAGUAAUCCCAAAUCAGCAUGUUGGGGUGAAUGCGUUCCCGGGUCUUGUACACACCGCCUGUCACGCCAUGGGAGUUGGGGGGACCCAAAGUCGGUGAGCUAACCAGCAAUGGAGGCAGCCGCCUAAGGUAAAACCAAUGACUGGGGUGAAGUCAUAACAAGGUAGCGGUAUCGGAAGGUGCCGCUGGAUCACCUCCUU